rnacentral:rRNA from 1 species
UCCUGUCUGAACAUGGGGGGACCACCCUCCAAGCCUAAAUACUCGUAUGUGACCGAUAGCGAACCAGUACCGUGAGGGAAAGGUGAAAAGAACCCCGGGAGGGGAGUGAAAUAGAUCCUGAAACCGUAUGCGUACAAGCAGUCGGAGCGGACUUGUUCCGUGACGGCGUACCUUUUGUAUAAUGGGUCAUCGACUUGGUCUAUCUAGCAAGCUUAAGCCGUUAGGUGUAGGCGCAGCGAAAGCGAGUCUGAAUAGGGCGCUAUAGUUAGUAGUGGUAGACGCGAAACCGUGUGAUCUACCCAUGGGCAGGUUGAAGCUGUGGUAACAC